rnacentral:rRNA from 1 species
CCUACGGGAGGCAGCAGUGAGGAAUAUUGGUCAAUGGGAGGAAUCCUGAACCAGCCAUGCCGCGUGCAGGACGACGGCUCUACGAGUUGUAAACUGCUUUUGUACCGGGGUAAAAUGCUCUACGAGUAGGGUUUUGAAAGUACGGUACGAGUAAGGAUCGGCUAACCCCGUGCCAUCAGCCGCGGUAAUACGGAGGAUCCGAGCGUUAUCCGGAUGCAUUGGGUUGAAAGCGGGCGUAGGUUGUUUUAUAAGUUAGCGGUGAAAUACCGAUGCUCAACAUCGGGGCUGCCGCUGAUACUGUAGGACUUGAGAUCGGAUGCAGCAGGCAGAAUGUGUAGUGUAGCGGUGAAAUGCAUAGAUAUUACACAGAACACCGAUUGCGAAGGCAGCUUGCUAGGCCGGAUCUGACACUGAUGCACGAAAGCGUGGGGAUCGAACAGGAUUAGAUACCCGAGUAGUC